rnacentral:rRNA from 1 species
AGAGUUUGAUCCUGGCUCAGGAUGAACGCUGGCGGCGUGCUUCACACAUGCAAGUCGAACGGAAAUGUUUCGCUGAUGCGAUUUCGGUCAAAUCUUGAAGCAUUUUAGUGGCGGACGGGUGAGUUACGCGUGGGUAACCUGCCCUGUACAGGGGGACAACAGUUGGAAACGACUGCUAAUACCGCAUAAGCGCACAGCUUCGCAUGAAGCGGUGUGAAAAACUCCGGUGGUACAGGAUGGACCCGCGUCUGAUUAGAUAGUUGGUGAGGUAACGGCCCACCAAGUCAACGAUCAGUAGCCGGCCUGAGAGGGUGAACGGCCACAUUGGGACUGAGACACGGCCCAAACUCCUACGGGAGGCAGCAGUGGGGAAUAUUGCACAAUGGGGGAAACCCUGAUGCAGCGACGCCGCGUGAGUGAAGAAGUAUUUCGGUAUGUAAAGCUCUAUCAGCAGGGAAGAAAACAAUGACGGUACCUGACUAAGAAGCCCCGGCUAACUACGUGCCAGCAGCCGCGGUAAUACGUAGGGGGCAAGCGUUAUCCGGAUUUACUGGGUGUAAAGGGAGCGUAGACGGUAGACCAAGUCUGAAGUGAAAGCCCGGGGCUCAACCCCGGAACUGCUUUGGAAACUGGUAAACUAGAGUGCAGGAGAGGUAAGUGGAAUUCCUAGUGUAGCGGUGAAAUGCGUAGAUAUUAGGAGGAACACCAGUGGCGAAGGCGGCUUACUGGACUGUAACUGACGUUGAGGCUCGAAAGCGUGGGGAGCAAACAGGAUUAGAUACCCUGGUAGUCCACGCCGUAAACGAUGAUUAUUGGGUGUCGGGGAGUUAAACUCUUCGGUGCCGCAGC